rnacentral:misc_RNA from 1 species
AACCAUAGAAACCUGCGGAGUACCUGCGGAAGGAUCAUUACAGAGUUCAUGCCCGCCUGGGUAGAUCUCCAUCCUUGUGUAUCUUACACUGUUGCUUUGGCGAGCCGCCUGAUGGCCACCGGCCCUGGCUGGUGUGUGCUCGCCGAAGAACCACAAAUUCACCAUUAUCCGUGUCGUCUGAGAAAUAUUUAAUAUUUAAAACUUUUAACAACGGAUCU